rnacentral:rRNA from 1 species
GACGGAGGGUGCAAGCGUUAUUCGGAAUGAUUGGGCGUAAAGCGUUCGCAGGUGGCUGUUCAAGUCAGCUGUCAAAGCCCGGGGCUUAACCCCAGAAAGGCAGUGGAAACUGAGCGGCUGGAGUGCAGAACAGGUAGAGGGAAUUCCCAGUGUAGCGGUGAAAUGCGUAGAUAUUGGGAAGAACACCGGUGGCGAAAGCGCCCUCCUGGACUGCAACUGACGCUGAGGGGCGAAAGCUAGGGGAGCGAAAGGG